rnacentral:rRNA from 1 species
UACGGAGGGUGCAAGCGUUGUCCGGAUUUAUUGGGUUUAAAGGGUGCGUAGGCGGCCCGUUAAGUCAGCGGUGAAAUCCCGGGGCUCAACCCCGGAACUGCCGUUGAUACUGGCGGGCUUGAAUUCGGUGAAGGCGGGCGGAACUGGCGGUGUAGCGGUGAAAUGCUUAGAUACCGCCAAGAACCCCGAUUGCGUAGGCAGCUCGCUGUGCCGAAACUGACGCUGAGGCACGAAAGCGUGGGGAGCGAACAGG